AACGAACGCUGGCGGCAUGCCUAACACAUGCAAGUCGAACGAGGUCUUCGGGUCUAGUGGCGCACGGGUGCGUAACGCGUGGGAAUCUGCCCUUUGGUUCGGAAUAACAGUUGGAAACGACUGCUAAUACCGGAUGAUGACGAAAGUCCAAAGAUUUAUCGCCAGAGGAUAAGCCCGCGUAGGAUUAGCUAGUUGGUGUGGUAAAGGCGCACCAAGGCGACGAUCCUUAGCUGGUCUGAGAGGAUGAUCAGCCACACUGGGACUAGGACACGGCCCAGACUCCUAGGGGAGGCAGCAGUGGGGAAUAUUGGACAAUGGGCGAAAGCCUGAUCCAGCAAUGCCGCGUGAGUGAUGAAGGCCUUAGGGUUGUAAAGCUCUUUUACCCGGGAUGAUAAUGACAGUACCGGGAGAAUAAGCUCCGGCUAACUCCGUGCCAGCAGCCGCCGUAA
rnacentral:rRNA from 1 species